rnacentral:SRP_RNA from 1 species
GCCGGGCGUGGUGGCUCACGCCUGUAAUCCCAGCACUUUGGGAGGCCGAGGCGGGAAGAUCACUUGAGGUCAGGAGUUCCUAGACCAGCCUGGCCAACAUGGUGAAACCCCGUCUCUA